CCCGCCCCGCAGGGGUCGCGUGACGCCCUGUGACGGGGGUCCGGCAGGAGCGGGCGGAUGGGGUCGGGGUGUAGCGUGGCUGCUCUGUGGUGUGUGGGGCCUGGAGAUAGAUACAGCGCUGCCCCGUAGUGCCCGGGGAACAGUGGGGGUCCUCAUGGAACGUGUGACCCUGGGUUUGGGCUUGGCCUUGGCUUUGGGGAGCUCCGGAGCCACACACCGAGACGGUGAAUCUCUGAAGUCUGCGGAGGGAAAUCUGACAAAAUGCCAUUCACAAGACCCUACCAGGGGAUGCCAGGGAUGGUGCUUGUCCUGCCAGCUCCAGGCAUGGGUGUUUGCAGCUCAGGAGAGAGCCAGGAAAUGCUGUUGA
rnacentral:lncRNA from 14 species